rnacentral:misc_RNA from 1 species
UACAGAGGGUGCGAACGUUGUUCGGAAUUACUGGGCGUAAAGCGCGUGUAGGCGGCCAGGCAAGUCGGAUGUGAAAGCCCACGGCUCAACCGUGGAAGUGCAUUCGAAACUGCUUGGCUAGAGUCCUGGAGAGGAAGGCGGAAUGCUUGGUGUAGAGGUGAAAUUCGUAGAUAUCAAGCAGAACACCUGUGGCGAAGGCGGCCUUCUGGACAGUGACUGACGCUGAGACGCGAAAGCGUGGGGAGCAAACAGG